rnacentral:rRNA from 1 species
AGUGAACGCUGGCGGUAGGCCUAACACAUGCAAGUCGAACGGCAGCACAGUAAGAGCUUGCUCUUACGGGUGGCGAGUGGCGGACGGGUGAGGAAUACAUCGGAAUCUACUUUUUCGUGGGGGAUAACGUAGGGAAACUUACGCUAAUACCGCAUACGACCUACGGGUGAAAGCAGUGGAUCUUCGGACCUUGCGCGAUUGAAUGAGCCGAUGUCGGAUUGGCUAGUUGGCGGGGUAAAGGCCCACCAAGGCGACGAUCCGUAGCUGGUCUGAGAGGAUGAUCAGCCACACUGGAACUGAGACACGGUCCAGACUACUACGGGAGGCAGCAGUGGGGAAUAUUGGACAAUGGGCGCAAGCCUGAUCCAGCCAUACCGCGUGGGUGAAGAAGGCCUUCGGGUUGUAAAGCCCUUUUGUUGGGAAAGAAAAGCAGCAGGUUAAUACCCCGCUGUUCUGACGGUACCCAAAGAAUAAGCACCGGCUAACUUCGUG